UCUUUCUUUCUUUCUUUUCUGUUUCUUUUUCUUUCCUGCGCCUGCGACUCCACUGCCGGCAGAAGCAGAUCGUGCCUCCAUCAGCUCGAUCGGACUCCGCCGCGCGCCACAGCCAUUCUCCUUCGCUCGAUCGCUGCUCCUCGCGACCCCGGCCACAGCUCUGCCACCAGAUCGCGCAGCGCCACCACUGCAGCUCAACUUCUCCUGCGUCGAUCUCAGGUGGUCCAGCCGCUUCCAGUGCGCGUAGCUCCGAUCCGGCACGCGUAAAUUCCCGAUCUAGCGAAAUCCAACAAGAAAAAGUAUAUUUGCG
rnacentral:lncRNA from 1 species